CACAAUAUGUUUUUGUUUGUAAACAAAUUUGAUUGACAGAAUGGCAUUGGUUUACUAUUUUAUAAAGCACGUUAUCGUAUUCAGUCGCGUUUUGUCUAAUAAUGACGAUCAUAUAUUUGUCGUUGUGUUAUGCUUUUUCCGUUUGCAGCUAUGGGGUUAGUUAAGCUUGACUAUUCUGAGAACGAAAAGGUUUUAAAAUCUAUCUUAACAAGAUUACAUCCCCAGGAAUUGACCGACGUGGAUUGCGAAUUCGACAAUGAGAAACAUCAGUAUUUCACAAAUUAUGUCCAGAACCUUUAUAAAGAAAAAUCUUUGAGCGAUAAAGAUAAAUAAGUGCGUAUUUCUAAUGACAGAACAUUCACAAACGAUCAGAGGAACUUAGCUAGUGUCCAUAUUCUACAGAAAAAGAAUUACGUUACUGAAGACUAAAGACGUAACGAAAGAUUUUCAAGUUUUCUACAGUUCCAGAAAUACUUUGUUUGAAGUUGGAUUUACCAAAGCGAUUCGAAGACAUGCCAAUUUGAGUGCACAAUUAGUAAUUUUUGAAAACGUCAAUAAGACUCAUAUAUCUUCACUUUGAUUACGUUGUAGAAGAAGCAUAAGAGAAGAGUUCUUGCAUUUACAACAGUAUGUAGGUGUAAUCACAACAUAUUCGUUUUGCUCAGUAGAACCAUGAAUUGUAGAUUUUAGUGACUUUGGUUGGCGAAGAUGGUUGUGGUCCCUUCUUCAUACCACACACAUUCUUGUUCCGGCAACUGUCUCAAUCGCAACAGUAAUGACACAAUUCCCUAUCAUGCUACUAGUAUUAUUAAACAGUAAUCAACAUGGUUUUAUUCUCAGGAAAGAUCGGAUGAACCUUUGGACUUGUCCACUUACUGCGUACCAGCUUCAUACGAACCAUUAUCAAUCGUGUAUUUAUCAAUUGGACGAAUUCUCACAUUGAUGCAGAUUCCUAAAAUGAAAGUAGCAUCGUGAAUGUGUGCUUAAACCUUUUCUGCUGAGAGUGCUAUCAGAUUCGUAUUCGCUUUGAUACGGUUUGUUUAUAAUUAAUGUCACCUAAUAUUUACAAUGUGAAUUUUAAAUGUAAAUACGUAAAAAUAUGUUUUCACUGUGUCAUUUUGUCUCUUGUGGAGUACUGUAAUGUCAUUGGCAAUACCACAUCUUUUUUUAAAAUUUGUAUAUAUUGUGUCCUAAAUGUCUCUCAUAAAUCUUUUUAAGAUUGGUGCAUACAAUGCAAAUGUUUUAAUGUUGUUGGUUUUUUUCGUGAAUCAUAUUUUAUCUUUGUAUAUGGUGAGACUAUAAUAAAAUAUUGAAUCUGAA